AGAGUUUGAUCCAGGCUCAGGAUGAACGCUGGCGGCGUGCCUAAUACAUGCAAGUCGAACGCACUGUGGUUCAACUGAUUUGAAGAGCUUGCUCUGAUAUGACGAUGAACAUUGCAGUGAGUGGCGAACGGGUGAGUAACACGUGGGAAACCUACCUCUUAGCGGGGGAUAACAUCUGGAAACAGAUGCUAAUACCGCAUAACACUAGCAACCGCAUGGUUGCUACUUGAAAGAUGGUUCUGCUAUCACUAAGAGAUGGUCCCGCGGCGCAUUAGUUAGUUGGUGAGGUAAUGGCAUCACCAAGACGAUGAUGCGUAGCCGAGUUGAGAGACUGAUCGGCCACAAUGGGACUGAGACACGGCCCAUACUCCUACGGGAGGCAGCAGUAGGGAAUCUUCCACAAUGGACGAAAGUCUGAUGGAGCAACGCCGCGUGUGUGAUGAAGGGUUUCGGCUCGUAAAACACUGUUGUAAGAGAAGAAUAGCAUCAAGAGUAACUGCUUGGUGUGUGACGGUAUCUUACCAGAAAGGAACGGCUAAAUACGUGCCAGCAGCCGCGGUAAUACGUAUGUUCCAAGCGUUAUCCGGAUUUAUUGGGCGUAAAGCGAGCGCAGACGGUUUUUUAAGUCCGAAGUGAAAGCCCACAGCUUAACUGUGGAAGUGCUUUGGAAACUGGAUGACUUGAGUGCAGUAGAGGAGAGUGGAAUUCCACGUGUAGCGGUGAAAUGCGUAGAUAUAUGGAGGAACACCAGUGGGCGAAUGCGGCUCUCUGGACUGUAACUGACGUUGAGGCUCGAAAGUG
rnacentral:rRNA from 1 species